GCCUCGCAGGAGGAGAUGUCCACUCCGGCGAAGACCCGGCAUAGUCCUCACCUGCUCUUUGAGCCACUCUUUGGUACUUGAAGAGAGGAUACCCUUUGUAUGUUCACUUGAUUAAUGGCGAAUAUACAGGGGGAGACUCUUAUUUGCGUAUCAAACUCUGUCGAGGAAGACGCUCAGACCCUGCUGUCUCCAGGACAAAGCCUCGGAUGUCAGCCCCUCUCAGGAUAAAUCACAUGGAUCUGCCUCUUCUCCAUACCAAGUCAUACCCAGAGGGCUUCCUGCGUCCAGCACUAACCUCGCACCUCUCCGGACACACGAAUGGGUGGUGGAUGGUGGAGCGCAGAGCUGAUGCUGCUUCUCACCUGCUACUCCCCUGACCUGCCACUCCCUGGUGGUCUCCAUCCUUGAGAGAGUGUCAGCCUUGAGGGAAGCACAUGGAUGUCAGGUUGUUCUAAGGUACAGGUGACACAUUCUUGGAUCUGGUCAUCUCUAGGACAACCAGCCUCAGAGGAGAGACAUUGUCUCAGCGCUCUCCAGCUCUGAGAAUGCCUGCAGAUGCCUUCUUCUCUGAUAACUCCAUGUCUUGCCGGGCUGAGCCCUCACACCCUGUGCCCCUUUGGAGAAAGGACAAAGCCUCGGAUGUCAGCCCCUCUCAGGAUAAAUCACACAUUGAUCUGCCUCUUCUUGGUACCAAGUCAUACACAGAAGGCUUCCUGUUCCCAGCAUCAGCCUUAGAAGGGGGACCUGGAUGUUGGAUCAUUUCAAGGGGAACACAGACAGCAGUGAUGGUGGACCACGGAGCACUGGCUCUGUCUAUGCUGUUUUCGAGCCUGGCAGCGCUGGGGAUGAGCCGUGGGAGCUGUCAGCCCCGCACCAGGAUGGCUGCCUGAGAAUGGGACUCUUGUUCUGUGUUUGUGGAGACACUCCUUGGGCCGUGUGACUGCCGGCUUUUUACACCCCGACUGCCAUGGGGGUCAUCUGGACCCGAAGCCAGCUUCAGGAAGGACAUUCGCAGCAUCCUCAGCCCAAGGAAAGCGAACGUCCAGCUGAAGAGAGGAUGUGAACACCUCCCUGCCCCAACCCUGGGAUUCAGCUCAUCCCAAGAAGAAUCUUCUGGAAGCAAAGACAACGGAGAAGCCCUAGAAGUGAUACAGGCUCUGGCCGGGGGACCCGAUGUGCUCGUGUCGCGGCGUGGGGCUUGGUGAGGAACCACCGGAGUGCUCUUGCAUUUUUCAUGACAAAGACCACACAGUUGGCCUCAUUCCUGCACAGUGGGAGAAUGUGUGGAGGUGUCCCGCCACCAGAGAGGAGGUCUAUGUCAGCACCAUCACCAGGACAAACUCCCCGGAGAUGUCCCCUGGCAGGACCCUGACCUGGAGGCAGGGUGCUGUCCAUGAUAGGGGAAUGGAUGGUUGAUCAGAGAACGUACAUUUUAUAAAUGGUGUAUGUCAGUUGAUCCACAGUCCCUACCUAUCCAGUGACUUCUGGAGGCCACAUCAGCUCAGAAGACAAGGCGGACUAGCUGGAAGGAAGGCAGACUCUGGUGAAGACGUGGGCCGUCACCGUCAGCCUUCGGUACUUGAAGAGUGGUUAUCCCUGCUGUGUUCGCUUAAUUUAUGACGAAUCAUACAGGGACAUCCAGUUUUUCAGUAUCAAAUACUGCUUUGGAAGGCUUCCCGGACAGCGUCCCGCCUUCAGGCAAGGGGUCUUGGCUUCACCUCCCACCCAAGGACCACAAUUUCAACUCCAGGGAAGGGGGACUGUGCCAGCACCACUCCAAGGGAGGAUGGUGGUUGGCAGCCACUCCCCUUGGAGAAGUGGAAGGGGACUCCUUGUCUGUCUUGUCUCUGCUUUUCUGUGGUACUUGAAGAGAAGUUGUUCGUGGUGGAUUCGCUUUACUUAUGACGAAUCAUUCACGGACAACACUUUUUUCAGUACCAAAUGCUACCUCUAAGGACUUCCUGGACACAAUGGCAGCUUCAGGAAAGAUAGUCUUUGUGUCAACCAUGUGGAAAAGCCAAGAAUGGAUGGCGGGCCAUGGACAAUGCGCUGACCUAGCUCGUCACCUCACAAGACUUUGAAGAGAGGCUCCCUGGGCCCCAGGCCGACUUCCAGAAGAGAUGUUGGUGUCAGCACCGUCCAGGGUGUGUGACUGGUUGACCAGAGGGGCAUGCACUGUGUUCACCCUGUGGGCCACCUAGUCACCAACCCUCAGCAUCACUCCCACUCCAGGAAGACUUUCCAGAGCUCCCACCAACUCUGGGGAAGCGGCCAUGGACUUGCUGUGACUGCUUGGUGGACUGCGAUGACACGUGCUCUUGGGGGUGUAUGUUUACUUAAAAUGCAAUGAGUCAGCCUUGGCAGCCCCUUCACCACUGUGACAGCCUCCUUGAAGUGUUGACUUCCGAUGUGGGACGCCAUGUUGUCUUCUGUUGAGGGACCUGAUGUGGGCCAGCUUUUCUCCUGGGAGGCUCCAUGGAGAUAAUGCGGCUUUGGGAAGCGGCCAUGAUUCUCCUGUCAGGGACCAGUGAGCUACGCAAAAGCUCCCUGUCUUGUCUGGAAGGACGAACUGCAUCCUUGCUGCUGGGGAGAAGGCAGUGCCCUCAGCACUCCCUUAAGUGUCAAAUUCUGCCUCGGAGGGCUUCCUGAGCCAGUGCUGCUUCCAAGGGUCCCAUCCACCCUCAGAGGCCACUCCCAAGCUGCCCAGGCUGUGCAGAAGAUGCAGGAAUGCUGCGAGCAGUGCCACCUCAUGGUACUCGGAGGGAGGUUGUCCGUG
ensembl:lncRNA MEG9 maternally expressed 9